GAAACCCAGAGAGAGAAGUAGCAACGGCUGCUGUGUAUAUUGUGGAUCAUGAUGAAUAGAGGCGACAAAAAUGUGCUUAACAUGAAUGAUUCAGUCUAUUUUGCAGAAUUCUUACCUACAAUUAGCCCAAAGCCUAAAAGCAGGAGCACUAGUCAUAUCACGACAACUCUUCCUUAUUCCAGUUGCACUCAUAGCACCACUAGUACUCGUCUAGGACUCGAUGGUCACCUUCUGGGCUCAGGCAAUAAUAUUAAUGCAUCGGAGCAAAAUAGGAGAGAAAUAUUCAUGAACGAACAGCCAUUAAUGGGGAUGAGUUCGCGGUGGAACCCAACGCCGGAGCAGCUACUAGCACUGGAAGAAAUGUACAGACGUGGAACGCGAACGCCAACAGCGGAACAAAUCCAACAAAUAGCUGCACAGCUUCGUAGGUUUGGGAAGAUUGAAGGCAAGAAUGUGUUCUACUGGUUUCAA
rnacentral:misc_RNA from 1 species